rnacentral:misc_RNA from 1 species
UCCGGUUUGGCACCGGCGGUCUCCCAUGAGUCCCCGGCAUGACCCGCUGGCAACAUGGGACAGGGGUUGCGCUCGUUGCGCCACUUAAGGCAACACCUCACGGCACGAGCUGACGACAGCCAUGCAGCACCUGUGCGGGCUCCCGAAGGAGCACCGUGUUUCCACGGUUUCACCCGCUUUAACUAGCAUGUCAAGCCCAGGUAAGGUUCUUCGCGUUGCAUCGAAUUAAGCCACAUGCUCCGCCGCUUGUGCGGGUCCCCGUCAAUUCCUUUGAGUUUUAGCCUUGCGGCCGUACUCCCCAGGCGGGGCACUUAAUGCGUUAGCUACGGCGCGGCAGACGUGAAUGCAUCCGCCACACCUAGUGCCCAACGUUUACGGCGUGGACUAC